rnacentral:rRNA from 1 species
UCGGCGUGCUUAACACAUGCAAGUCGAACGGAAAGGCCCUGCUUUUGUGGGGUGCUCGAGUGGCGAACGGGUGAGUAACACGUGAGUAACCUGCCCUUGACUUUGGGAUAACUUCAGGAAACUGGGGCUAAUACCGGAUAGGAGCUCCUGCUGCAUGGUGGGGGUUGGAAAGUUUCGGCGGUUGGGGAUGGACUCGCGGCUUAUCAGCUUGUUGGUGGGGUAGUGGCUUACCAAGGCUUUGACGGGUAGCCGGCCUGAGAGGGUGACCGGCCACAUUGGGACUGAGAUACGGCCCAGACUCCUACGGGAGGCAGCAGUGGGGAAUAUUGCACAAUGGGCGGAAGCCUGAUGCAGCAACGCCGCGUGCGGGAUGACGGCCUUCGGGUUGUAAACCGCUUUCGCCUGUGACGAAGCGUGAGUGACGGUAAUGGGUAAAGAAGCACCGGCUAACUACGUGCCAGCAGCCGCGGUGAUACGUAGGGUGCGAGCGUUGUCCGGAUUUAUUGGGCGUAAAGGGCUCGUAGGUGGUUGAUCGCGUCGGAAGUGUAAUCUUGGGGCUUAACCCUGAGCGUGCUUUCGAUACGGGUUGACUUGAGGAAGGUAGGGGAGAAUGGAAUUCCUGGUGGAGCGGUGGAAUGCGCAGAUAUCAGGAGGAACACCAGUGGCGAAGGCGGUUCUCUGGGCCUUUCCUGACGCUGAGGAGCGAAAGCGUGGGGAGCGAACAGGCUUAGAUACCCUGGUAGUCCACGCUGUAAACGGUGGGUACUAGGUGUGGGGUCCAUUCCACGGGUUCCGUGCCGUAGCUAACGCUUUAAGUACCCCGCCUGGGGAGUACGGCCGCAAGGCUAAAACUCAAAGGAAUUGACGGGGCCCCGCACAAGCGGCGGAGCAUGCGGAUUAAUUCGAUGCAACGCGUAGAACCUUACCUGGGUUUGACAUGGAUCGGGAGUGCUCAGAGAUGGGUGUGCCUCUUUUGGGGUCGGUUCACAGGUGGUGCAUGGCUGUCGUCAGCUCGUGUCGUGAGAUGUUGGGUUAAGUCCCGCAACGAGCGCAACCCUUGUUCACUGUUGCCAGCACGUUAUGGUGGGGACUCAGUGGAGACCGCCGGGGUCAACUCGGAGGAAGGUGGGGAUGACGUCAAGUCAUCAUGCCCCUUAUGUCCAGGGCUUCACGCAUGCUACAAUGGCUGGUACAGAGAGUGGCGAGCCUGUGAGGGUGAGCGAAUCUCGGAAAGCCGGUCUCAGUUCGGAUUGGGGUCUGCAACUCGACCUCAUGAAGUCGGAGUCGCUAGUAAUCGCAGAUCAGCAACGCUGCGGUGAAUACGUUCCCGGGGCUUGUACACACCGCCCGUCAAGUCAUGAAAGUUGGUAACACCCGAAGCCGGUGGCCUAACCGUUGUGGGGGAGCCGUCGAAGGUGGGACUGGUGAUUAGGACUAA